AAUCGUCUGAAUCAUUUGGCUCUGAUUACAUGAAUAGUCACGAUUCCUUUUGCGACUUCGCUCAUGGCGUCUUUGCUGAGAAUGAUUUAAAAGGAUUUUUGAAAGAUACGGUUAAUGGUCUCAAAACAAAUUGAAUUUUCGCGCAUCUGAGUGUAGUGUGUCUCCGCUGUUGUUGUUCGUCAGGAAAAAAAACACGACGCUUGAGAAUCCGUAUACGAUUCCAGAAAACUCGUGAAUUUGGCCAGAAAAACCAUAACAGCACUGUAAAAUUGGCACACCGAGGCCGGUCAACAAAGAUAGUGAUAAAGCUCGACAAACUACACCCUCCAGCCGGACAAACACCGGAAGCGCCAAACAAGGUGAACCCUCCGUCGGAACAACCAGCAACACACCAUCGACAACCGCAGCAGUAGACUGAUCCGGCGGAAGAAAACAUAGCCUUUCGUACAGUUUGUGUUCUGGUUAUGUUAAAGUGAGCGGAACUCCCGAAUCGAAACUUUUGAAUCUUCCGAGGAGCACCACAUGCUACGAAAUCAGGACAACCGAAAAGUAUUCCUCAACAGAAGACCUGAACGCUCAAAAUGCCGGGAAAGGUUGCGGAUCAAUUGGCACUGUUCAUUCUCCCGGAGUAACCAUCUGUUGGCGGUUGCAUUUCGGUAGAUCAGCAGAAUCGGGUUAAAAACUUUUCCGUUCAAGAGUCUCCGGGAUUUUCUCCAAUGGCUCCGAAAAUAGCCGCGUAGCCCACCUUCUGGUCUUUAAUUUCUCCACUUUGGUCGUGUUUCUAUGAAGCCAUUCUAUGCUUAUCGAUCUAUUUUACUUAGAUCUGAAGCAACAAAAUCAACGGCAGCUGCAGCUCCGCAUCAAACACGCGUUAGGUUUUCUGCAGUCGUUAUAUCUGAAGGUUAAAAUCAAAUAAUGCUCCACCAUUGUGAAGUCUCGUCUCGUUAAACGCUGUCAAAGAAUUCUUGAUUAUGGCGGCAAGGAUUAUACUGAACACAAUUAUUACCCAUGCAUGGCAUGACCACUCACCGUCGACUAGUCAUUGGAUAGUUUUUUUGUCUCGUGUCUAGAAAAAUCUGUUCUAAACAGUGAAGCCAUGAAGCAAACGCUGUGCGUGCGUGAUACCGAUCCGACUGGUAUUCGAACUAAGAACAAUGCUACAUAUCGCUUCAGAUGCUUCUACUCAAAUGUAUCAGCAAUCUGCAUCACCCUAGGAUUCGAUCAACAUCGAGUAGGCUGCUGAAUAUUUAAAAUUAUUUAUAAAAAACGAAUUCAUGAUAAUGUUCCGAAAGUUUCAGGAUAAUGAUUUAUGAUUUAAGUUUAUGAAUCGGAACUGAACAUUAUUUGUUGAACUGAAUCUCUUUCGUGACAGUUUAGCUUAAUCAGUUAUAGUGGUAGAUAGAUACACAGAAACUUAUUUUGUUUCUGUUAGACUAGACCUAAGUAAUAUCUCUGUAUAAGACUGAGUUACUCGUAAAGGUGCUUAUUUCAAUGCAAGAUUCAAUUUUUUGUACUAUUUUUCUCAAAAGAAAUUCAUUUUAGAGUUUUUGUGACAAAUUUACUUACACGAAACCUUGAGUUUUUUUAGUCGCGAAUGCCAUUAAGAAGGUAAAACGACUAUAAUCGAAAAAAAAGAAACCUUCAGUAUUUAUUCGAGUAAUAUAUUUUCAGUAUCGUAUUUU